UACGUAGGUGGCAAGCGUUGUCCGGAUUUACUGGGCGUAAAGAGCGCGCAGGCGGUCGCUCAAGUCGCGUGUGAAAGCCCCCGGCUCAACUGGGGAGGGUCACGCGAUACUGAUCGACUGGAAGGCAGGAGAGGGUAGUGGAAUUCCCGGUGUAGUGGUGGAAUGCGUAGAUAUCGGGAGGAACACCAGUGGCGAAGGCGACUACCUGGCCUGUUCUUGACGCUGAGGCGCGAAAGCUAGGGGAGCAAACGGG
rnacentral:rRNA from 1 species